ensembl:scaRNA small Cajal body-specific RNA 14
GUGGCUGACUUCACUGCUGGCUGCAUUCGCUAGGAAUGAAUGCAGCCGUGAGCAGCCACAGACAGUAAAGCCAGUGGUUCCUGCCGACAGAGUCUGUAGAGUCAUCAGAUUUUCUGUGCGAUGGUUCCAUACAUU